GCUUGGCGUGCGGACAACGGGCAGCUGUGCGCGCACUUUCCGGGUCUUGGCCUCACGGUGACACUGGAUUCGAACCCCGUCGGGCCGGCAGCCGACAGCAGUAAUCUACAGUAGCCAAGAAUUCAUAAGAUCCCAGAGACAGCUCAGGACGGUCAUAAGCAUCCACACGUUUGCCGCUCCUGAGAAAUGCUCCCUCAUCUACCUAAUGUGAAAGAGAACGAUGUGGAUGCGAGCCUUGUCCCAAAGCUCAGCCGUCACAACAUACCAUCAUUGAUACAACUGCAGAAGGAGCACUGGAAGCGCCUCCCUCCCUCGAUGAAUGUCAUGAGAGGGCACAUGUAUGCUUUGCAGCGAUUACAGCGCAGGGGGCCAGAUUCUCCAUGAUCCACAACAUACGGUGAAGCCUAAGGAACAAAGAGAAGAGACUGAGAUGGAGGGAGGUUACAGAGGGAUCAGACAUAUGGCAACAUAUGACACAGACUGGAGGGAGAAGCAGCAUGGCUCAGGUAUUCUGCCUGGGGAAGGAAUUCAGUGGAAGGGAAUGAGAACAACGGUAAGAACUGGAAAAAACUCCAGCUCGCUCUCUUCAUUUUCUAUCCCAAAAUGCAUUUCUUCUUACAAAGGAAGAUGGCCUAUGAAACUGGCCAUAGCAAGCCGGAGUGUAUGGAAAGAAAACCAAAAAUUCUACAGAAUGGUUCCUCCUGUCCUGGAGAUGACUUUUGCUUCCGUCCCUGUGUAUCUAUGAUACUUUCCCCUAUCACACACAAGAGAAUUCUGUGGGAUUUCUAUGGGACACCUACUGUUGUCCCAUAGAUAUCAUCUUACAAACAUAAGAACAGCAUCCAACUGUCCUCACUAGCAACCCACACAGAAAAUGAGAAGGCAGAACAUAUACUGUGCCUUGAUGGUCCAGUUCUAGAAAACUCUUUUUAAGUACAUUAGGUUGUCAAGACCUAAAUAAACAGCUACCUAAUUUUUAAAAAAUAUUUUUUGCCAGGAUUAGGGGUGCACGCCUUUAAUCCCAGCACUUAGGAAGUGGAGGCAGGCAGAUUUCUGAUUUCCAGGCCAGCCUGGUCUACAGAGUGAGUCCCAGGAAUAGGUGUACAGGAAGCCCUGUCUUGAAAAAACAAAAACAAAAACUGCUAAUUUUAGGUAAUGGAUUGACAGAUGGGGGCCCAAGCCAGGUUAGGGAUGGAGUACUGGGUACAAUAGUACUUAUUUGCCUAUACCCAAGCCAUCAGAACUCAAGUUUAAACCCCCGCCCCCAAACACACACAUACACAACAGAAUAGCAGACUUGUCAUCAUCCAGAGAUGUGACCACACAAUGAGAAGUUCCUACAUCCAGCUGUCUUGCCUGUAGAAAUUAGGUUGGCCCUACCUGUUUUAAGACAGGGUGUUUCAUGAUAUAGCCCUGGCUGGCUUCAUCACAGAGAUCUGCCUACCUCUGCUUCAUGAAUACCAGGACUAACUCUUUGAGAUGGAGUUUACUAUGUGGGUAGGCUGUGCUGGGAUUUUCCUAAGGGCUUCAAUUACACGUGUAAACCUCCAC
ensembl:lincRNA 6230400D17Rik RIKEN cDNA 6230400D17 gene